rnacentral:rRNA from 1 species
GAUGAACGCUGGCGGCGUGCUUAACACAUGCAAGUCGAACGAAACACCUUAUUUGAUUUUCUUCGGAACUGAAGAUUUGGUGAUUGAGUGGCGGACGGGUGAGUAACGCGUGGGUAACCUACCCUGUACAGGGGGAUAACAGUCAGAAAUGACUGCUAAUACCGCAUAAGACCACAGCACCGCAUGGUGCAGGGGUAAAAACUCUGGUGGUACAGGAUGGACCCGCGUCUGAUUAGCUGGUUGGUGAGGUAACGGCUCACCAAGGCGACGAUCAGUAGCCGGCUUGAGAGAGUGAACGGCCACAUUGGGACUGAGACACGGCCCAAACUCCUACGGGAGGCAGCAGUGGGGAAUAUUGCACAAUGGGGGAAACCCUGAUGCAGCGACGCCGCGUGAGUGAAGAAGUAUCUCGGUAUGUAAAGCUCUAUCAGCAGGGAAGAA